rnacentral:rRNA from 1 species
GAUCCUGCUCAGGACGAACGCUGGCGGCGUGCCUAACACAUGCAAGUCGAACGGAAGUUAGAGCUUCGGUUUUAACUUUAGUGGCGAACGGGUGAGUAACGCGUGAGGAACCUGCCUUUCAGUGGGGGACAACAGUUGGAAACGACUGCUAAUACCGCAUGACACUUUUGGGAGACAUCUCCUGGAAGUCAAAGCUUUAUGUGCUGAAAGAUGGCCUCGCGUCUGAUUAGCUGGUUGGUGAGGUAACGG